rnacentral:rRNA from 1 species
ACGGGGGGUGCAAGCGUUGUUCGGAAUUAUUGGGCGUAAAGAGCGUGUAGGCGGCUGAAUAAGUCAGUUGUGAAAUCCCCGGGCUUAACCUUGGAACUGCCAUUGAUACUAUUGAGCUUGAGUACGGGAGGAGUAAGUGGAAUUCCUGGUGUAGAGGUGAAAUGCGUAGAUAUGAGGAGGAACACCGAUGGCGAAGGCAGCUUUCUGGAUUUAAACUGACGCUGAGGCGCGAGAGCGUGGGGAGCAAACAG